UAAUACGAAGGGGGCUAGCGUUGCUCGGAAUUACUGGGCGUAAAGGGCGCGUAGGCGGAUAUUUAAGUUAGAGGUGAAAGCCCAGGGCUCAACCCUGGAAUAGCCUUUAAUACUGGAUAUCUUGAGUUCGGGAGAGGUGAGUGGAACUCCGAGUGUAGAGGUGAAAUUCGUAGAUAUUCGGAAGAACACCAGUGGCGAAGGCGACUCACUGGCCCGAUACUGACGCUGAGGCGCGAAAGCGUGGGGAGCAAACAGGAUUAGAUACCCUGGUAGUCCACGCUGUAAACGAUGAGUGCUAGUUGUCGGCAUGCAUGCAUGUCGGUGACGCAGCUAACGCAUUAAGCACUCCGCCUGGGGAGUACGGUCGCAAGAUUA
rnacentral:rRNA from 1 species